AUUGAACGCUGGCGGCAGGCCUAACACAUGCAAGUCGAACGGUAGCACAGGAGAGCUUGCUCUUCGGGUGACGAGUGGCGGACGGGUGAGUAAUGCAUGGGGAGCUGCCCAAUCGAGGGGGAUACCAGCUGGAAACGGCUGCUAAUACCGCAUACGCCUUGAGGGGGAAAGGUGGGGACCUUCGGGCCUACCGCGAUUGGAUGCACCCAUGUGGGAUUAGCUAGUUGGUGAGGUAACGGCUCACCAAGGCGACGAUCUCUAGCUGGUCUGAGAGGAUGACCAGCCACACUGGAACUGAGACACGGUCCAGACUCCUACGGGAGGCAGCAGUGGGGAAUAUUGCACAAUGGGGGAAACCCGUGAUGCAGCCAUGCCGCGUGUGUGAAGAAGGCC
rnacentral:rRNA from 1 species